GGAAGGAGUACAGCUCAGUGGUAGUGCAUCUGCCUUGUAUGUUGAAAGUCCCAGGUUCAAUCCCUGGCAUUUCCA